rnacentral:tRNA from 1 species
CACUAAGAAGCUAAAAAGGGCCUUAGCGUUAGCCUUUUAAGCUAAAAUCUGGUGACUCCCGCCCACCCUUAGUGA